rnacentral:rRNA from 1 species
UACGUAGGGAGCUAGCGUUGUCCGGAAUCAUUGGGCGUAAAGAGCGUGUAGGCGGCCCGGUAAGUCCGCUGUGAAAGUCGGGGGCUCAACCCUCGAAUGCCGGUGGAUACUGUCGGGCUCGAGUGCGGAAGAGGCGAGUGGAAUUCCUGGUGUAGCGGUGAAAUGCGCAGAUAUCAGGAGGAACACCAAUUGCGAAGGCAGCUCGCUGGGACGUUACUGACGCUGAGACGCGAAAGCGUGGGGAGCAAACAGG